GACGCCGGCAGCAACUCGCUCACGGUGAAGAAGCGGCCCCCUUCCUGUCCCGUGUCGAACACACGCACGACGCGCGGGUGCGUGAGGGACGCGGCGAGACCGGCGCGCUUCAUCAGCACCUUGGAGUCGACGCCGGGCUCGAACACGCGAACCGCGACCGACCGAUCGAGGCGCUCGUCGGUUGCUUCCCACGUCACGGAAGCAGCGCCGCGACCCAGCUCGCGCUCGAGUCGGUAUCGCUCCCCGACCCGUUGGCCGCGGGCCAGGCGCACG
rnacentral:misc_RNA from 1 species